UACGUAGGUGGCAAGCGUUAUCCGGAUUUAUUGGGCGUAAAGGGAACGCAGGCGGUCUUUUAAGUCUGAUGUGAAAGCCUUCGGCUUAACCGGAGUAGUGCAUUGGAAACUGGGAGACUUGAGUGCAGAAGAGGAGAGUGGAACUCCAUGUGUAGCGGUGAAAUGCGUAGAUAUAUGGAAGAACACCAGUGGCGAAGGCGGCCUGCUGGACGGAUACUGACGCUGAGGCCCGAAAGCGUGGGGAGCGAACAGG
rnacentral:rRNA from 1 species